rnacentral:rRNA from 1 species
UGUCGUGAGAUGUUGGGUUAAGUCCCGCAACGAGCGCAACCCUUUUCCUUACUUGCCAGCAUUUCGGAUGGGAACUUUAAGGAUACUGCCAGUGACAAACUGGAGGAAGGCGGGGACGACGUCAAGUCAUCAUGGCCCUUACGGCCAGGGCUACACACGUGCUACAAUGGUCGGUACAAAGGGUUGCUACACAGCGAUGUGAUGCUAAUCUCAAAAAGCCGAUCGUAGUCCGGAUUGGAGUCUGCAACUCGACUCCAUGAAGUCGGAAUCGCUAGUAAUCGCGGAUCAGAAUGCCGCGGUGAAUACGUUCCCGGGCCUUGUACACACCGCCCGUCACACCAUGGGAGUUUGUUGCACCAGAAGUAGCUAGCCUAACUGCAAAGAGGGCGGUUACCACGGUGUGGCCGAUGACUGG